rnacentral:rRNA from 5 species
CAAAAGAAGUAGGUAGCUUAACCUUCGGGAGGGCGCUUACCACUUUGUGAUUCAUGACUGGGGUGAAGUCGUAACAAGGUAACCGUAGGGGAACCUGCGGUUGGAUCACCUCCUUACCUUAAAGAA